GAUGAACGCUAGCGGGAGGCCUAACACAUGCAAGCCGAGCGGUAUUGUUUCUUCGGAAAUGAGAGAGCGGCGUACGGGUGCGUAACACGUGUGCAACCUGCCUUUAUCUGGGGGAUAGCCUUUCGAAAGGAAGAUUAAUACUCCAUAAUAUAUUGAACGGCAUCGUUUAAUAUUGAAAGCUCCGGCGGAUAGAGAUGGGCACGCGCAGGAUUAGCUAGUUGGUGAGGUAACGGCUCACCAAGGCGAUGAUCUUUAGGGGGCCUGAGAGGGUGAGCCCCCACACUGGUACUGAGACAAGGACCAGACGCCUACGGGGGGCAGCAGUGAGGAAUAUUGGUAAAUGGGCGCAAGCCUGAACCAGCCAUCCCGCGUGAAGGACGACUGCCCUAUGGGUUGUAAACUUCUUUUGUAUAGGGAUAAACCUACCCUCGUGAGGGUAGCUGAAGGUACUAUACGAAUAAGCACCGGCUAACUCCGUGCCAGCAGCCGCCGCCGUAA
rnacentral:rRNA from 1 species